rnacentral:tRNA from 1 species
GGAGAGUUGUCAGAGCGGCCGAAUGAGACGGUCUUGAAAACCGUUAUGUAGUGAUCCUGCAUCGGGGGUUCGAAUCCCCCACUCUCCG